rnacentral:rRNA from 1 species
GUCCACGCUGUAAACGAUGGGCACUAGGUGUCCGGGGUAUUGACCCCCUGGGUGCCGCAGCUAACGCAUUAAGUGCCCCGCCUGGGGAGUACGGUCGCAAGAUUAAAACUCAAAGGAAUUGACGGGGGCCCGCACAAGCGGUGGAGCAUGUGGUUCAAUUCGACGCAACGCGAAGAACCUUACCUGGGUUAGACAACGGCGGACAGCCCUAGAAAUAGGGUCUUCCCUUCGGGGAUCGCCGGUUCAGGUGCUGCAUGGCUGUCGU